rnacentral:rRNA from 1 species
CCCUUAGACGUUCUGGGCCGCACGCGCGCUACACUGACACAGGCAACGAGCUUUCCUUUACCGAAAGGUAUGGGUGAUCUUUUGAAACUGUGUCGUGCUGGGGAUAGAUCCUUGCAAUUUUUGAUCUUAAACGAGGAAUUCCUAGUAAGCGCGAGUCAUCAACUCGCGUUGAUUACGUCCCUGCCCUUUGUACACACCGCCCGUCGCUACUACCGAUUGAAUGGCUUAGUGAGGCCUCAGGAUCCGCGCUUAAUGUGUGGAGAAUUUGGACAAACUACGUCAUUUAGAGGAAGUAAAAGUCGUAACA